rnacentral:sRNA from 1 species
UACUACAAUGGCUCGGCGGGCAGCUUC